UACGUAGGGCGCGAGCGUUGUCCGGAUUUAUUGGGCGUAAAGAGCUCGUAGGCGGCUUGUCGCGUCGACCGUGAAAACUCGCAGCUCAACUGCGAGCCUGCGGUCGAUACGGGCAGGCUAGAGUUCGGUAGGGGAGACUGGAAUUCCUGGUGUAGCGGUGAAAUGCGUAGAUAUCGGGAGGAACACCAGUGGCGAAGGCGACUACCUGGCCUGUUCUUGACGCUGAGGCGCGAAAGCUAGGGGAGCAAACGGG
rnacentral:rRNA from 1 species